UGCCCGGUGGUGUAAACGGUAGCACACGGGACUUUGGAUCCCGCAGUGGAGGUUCGAAUCCUCCCCGGGCAA
rnacentral:tRNA from 1 species